UUCCGGUUGAUCCUGCCGGACCCUACUGCUAUCGGGGUAGGACUAAGACAUGCGAGUCGUGCGUCUCUAAGCUAUGGUAGAGACGCGGCAUACGGCUCAGUAACACGUGGCUAACCUACCCUUAGGACGGAGACAACCCCGGGAAACUGGGGCUAAUACCUGAUAGGUGAGGAGGCCUGGAAUGGUUCUUCGCUGAAAAGGCGUUGAAACCAUGCUUUUCAACGUCGCCUAAGGAUGGGGCCGCGCCCGAUCAGGUUGUUGGUGGGGUAACGGCUCACCAAGCCUAUAACCGGUACGAGCCGUGAGAGCGGGAGCCCGGAGAUGGGCACUGAGACAAGGGCCCAGGCCCUACGGGGCGCAGCAGUCGCGGAAAACUCCGCAAUGCGCGA
rnacentral:rRNA from 1 species